UCCCAUAUCAGUCUUAAUCUGUUGCCUUCUAGCUAUUUCCAUCAACCUCUCUGCUAAUCUGGUACUAGAAAUUUGAGGAAAAUUAACUACAAAAGCGAUUUGCUUGAGCGGCCUCAAAGCGGGAACAUAUGCAUCAUUACAAAUACAAAUUAUAGGCCUUUUGAGUAUAUUCUGACUCUUAUCUUGCUGCUUUUUACCCUUUUUAGCUGGCAAAGUGGCAGUGAUGAACUUGACUAGAUAAUCUAUGGAGGCGGAGGGCGCCCCGUCAAUUUCAUCAAAAACGAUACAGUUGGGGCGUUUUUCUUGGUCUACGACCGAUCGCAUUUGGGUAGCGUUUUCCAAGGAUGUUCGGAAAGCCUCUAAACUACGAUCGUCCGAAGCGUUUAUUUCCACGACGUUAUAUCCGGCAUGUUUGGCAACCAUGUUGAGGAAGACAAUAUUCUGGAAUUCUUAAAGUACACAACAGUACUCUUAGUUACCUCACGCUUUAUUGCGAGUUUGCAACAUCCAAGAAAUUGAAUGCAGUGGCUUUUCUGUUUGACCUAUCUCGAGCUUUUGAAAUUCUCCUUCUUUCUCCUGACUUGUCUUAUUCUAUUGUAUAUGUAAUAACAAAUGACCAAAAAAAUCAGUAAAUAUAAAAUUAUGAAAAACG